AACUCACGUAAUCAAUGCGACGCGACCGAUGCCUUGACGCAAAUCGCCAUGUUUACUCCGGUGCUCUUAACAGCUUAGAGCCAGUUUAUCAAGGUUUAGCGUCGCUGCUCGGCGGGCGUGACGGCUGGACGGCGGGUGAGUCUGACGCUGCUGCCCCACCAAACUAACGGCCAUGUUUGACUGGUAUUACUGCUACCUGGUUGGCGUGGCAGGAUUGUUGGCUGCCUCACUGGAAGUCAUGACCUAACUAGCUAACUGACUGACUGAAUGCUUCGGUCACUGCAUGAACGACUGGGAGAAUAAUGAAGGUUCGUCUGGCUGCUCAUUUCUCUCUUUGAAUGACCGAAUGGCUACCUAGUUUGUUGACAGGUUGGAGAAAUCAUGACUUAAUUAACUAGCUAACUGGCUGACUGAAUGCUUCGACUAGGAAAAUAAUGAAGGUUCGUUUGGCUGUUGAAUUGUCAAGUUGACACGAGCUCAUUUCUCUCUUUGAAUGACUGAAUGCCUGCGUAACUUGUUGACAGAUUGGCUGAAUGACUCACGGGUUGAGUGACAUUGGCCGAGCGGCAGGUGUGUGAAGUUAGUGCGAGGCUGCAGCUGAGAUGACAAGUUGAUAAGAGCUCAUUUCUCCUUUUGAAUGACUGAAUGGUUAUCUAGCUUGUUGACUGGUUGGCUGAAUGACUCACGGGUUGACUGACAUUGGCUGGGCGGCGGGGAGUGUGGCAUUAGUGCGAGGUUGUGGUCUGAACGGCAAGCAUCAAGUGAGUUGCGGAACAGUUAGUGCAGCGAUGGCAGCCACAAAUACUGGAGCGUCCCUUAUUAUUAUGACUCGCAGCCACUCGUCGGCACAAACGCGGCUGCUUUUAAAGGUCAUUAUGUGGCUACGUGGCGUGGUUGUGAUGCUGGAGCGGCGUGUGAUGAUAUGGUGGCGACGCGGCCGUUUUGUGAAGGACGAGUGUUGUCGACAUGCGCGCCCAGAGAGUAAGCGGGACUCCAGGCGGCAAGAAAGUCCUGAUGCGAAAGGGAAGCGAAAUGAAAAGAUACGAAGAAAGAAAUUAAGAGAAACACUAACUGUGGUAGUUGUACUAGCAGCAGCAGUAGUAUCAGUAAAGGCAUUAAAAGCAAAAGAGGUAACCGCAACAACAUCAUCAGCAGCAGCAUCAAAACCACCACUGCCAGCAGCAACAAUAACAACCAUCACCUCACGCACUCAAGAAAUCUGCCGGGCCAUACACGCGGCGGUAAUUGCGCCAGUCCCGGAUCCCUAAUUCAACCUCUUGGCCUCACCCCGCCCGCCCUCAAGCAACACCAGACCCGUCCUCGCCCUCUCCUGCACCGCACCCUCAGCCCAGCCAGCCCCGCGUCGUGACAGGAACACAUCCCCGAGACCUCACUGCAAUGCUUCCCUCCUUGCCAUGAAACAUCACCGCCGCCGCCGCCUCCGCCUCAGCAUCAUAACCUCCACCACCACCACAAUCCCUUUUCCUUCUUCAUCCUCUUAGCGC